UAAUACGGAGGGUGCAAGCGUUAAUCGGAAUUACUGGGCGUAAAGCGUGCGUAGGCGGUUUAUUAAGUCAGAUGUGAAAGCCCCGGGCUUAACCUGGGAACUGCAUUUGAAACUGGUCAACUAGAGUAUGGUAGAGGAAAGUGGAAUUUCUGGUGUAGCGGUGAAAUGCGUAGAUAUCAGAAGGAACAUCAAUGGCGAAGGCAGCUUUCUGGACCAAUACUGACGCUGAGGUACGAAAGCGUGGGUAGCAAACAGGAUUAGAUACCCUGGUAGUCCACGCCGUAAUCGAUGAUAACUAGCCGUUGGGGGGAUUUACCCCUUAGUGGCGAAGCUAACGCGUUAAGUUAUCCGCCUGGGGAGUACGGCCGCAAGGCUA
rnacentral:rRNA from 1 species